rnacentral:rRNA from 1 species
AGACGUAGGGGGCAAGCGUUGUCCGGAAUUAUUGGGCGUAAAGAGCUCGUAGGUGGGAUUAUAAGUCAGCAAGUAAAUAUCUCGGCUCAACUGAGAUCUCAUUGUUGAUACUGUAAUUCUUGAGGACAGGAGAGGAAAGUGGAAUUCCCGGUGUAGCGGUGAAAUGCGUAGAGAUCGGGAGGAACACCAGUGGCGAAGGCGGCUUUCUGGCCUGAUUCUGACACUGAGGAGCGAAAGCUAGGGGAGCGAACGGGAUUAGAUACCCCGGUAGUCCUAGCCGUAAACGAUGGGCACUAGGUGUAGGAGGUGUUAAUCCCUUCUGUGCCGCAGUUAACACAAUAAGUGCCCCGCCUGGGGAGUACGGCCGCAAGGUUGAA